CCUACGGGAGGCAGCAGUGAGGAAUAUUGGGCAAUGGGCGCGAGCCUGAACCAGCCAAGUAGCGUGAAGGAUGACUGCCCUACGGUUUGUAAACUUCUUUUAUAAAGGAAUAAAGUGAGGCACGUGUGCCUUUUUGUAUGUACUUUAUGAAUAAGGAUCGGCUAACUCCGUGCCAGCGGCCGCGGUAAUACGGAGGAUCCGAGCGUUUGCCGGAUUUAUUGGGUUUAAAGGGAGCGUAGAUGGGUUGUUAAGUCAGUUGUGAAAGCUUGCGGCUCAACCGUAAAAUUGCAAUUGAUACUGGCAGCCUUGAGUACAGUUGAGGUAGGCGGAAUUCGUGGUGUAGCGGUGAAAUGCUUAGAUAUCACGAAGAACUCCGAUUGCGAAGGCAGCUUAUUAGACUGCCACUGACAUUGAUGCGCGAAAGUGUGGGUAUCAAACAGGAUUAGAUACCCUUGUAGUC
rnacentral:rRNA from 1 species